rnacentral:rRNA from 1 species
GUGAGGAAUAUUGGACAAUGGGCGCAAGCCUGAUCCAGCCAUGUCGCGUGCAGGAAGACGCAUCUAUGGUGUGUAAACUGCUUUUGUACGGGAAGAAACACUCCCUCGUGAGGGAGCUUGACGGUACCGUAAGAAUAAGGAUCGGCUAACUCCGUGCCAGCAGCCGCGGUAAUACGGAGGAUCCAAGCGUUAUCCGGAAUCAUUGGGUUUAAAGGGUCCGUAGGCGGUUUAAUAAGUCAGUGGUGAAAGCCCAUCGCUCAACGAUGGAACGGCCAUUGAUACUGUUAGACUUGAAUUACAAGGAAGUAACUAGAAUAUGUAGUGUAGCGGUGAAAUGCUUAGAUAUUACAUGGAAUACCAAUUGCGAAGGCAGGUUACUACUUGUGGAUUGACGCUGAUGGACGAAAGCGUGGGGAGCGAACAGGAUUAGAUACCCUGGUAGUCC